GGUUAAGCGACUAAGCGUACACGGUGGAUGCCUAGGCAGUCAGAGGCGAUGAAGGGCGUGCUAAUCUGCGAAAAGCGUCGGUAAGCUGAUAUGAAGCGUAAUAACCGACGAUACCCGAAUGGGGAAACCCAGUGCAAUUCGUUGCACUAUUGCAUGGUGAAUACAUAGCCAUGCAAGGCGAACCGGGGGAACUGAAACAUCUAAGUACCCCGAGGAAAAGAAAUCAACCGAGAUUCCCCCAGUAGCGGCGAGCGAACGGGGAAGAGCCCAGAGUCUGAAUCAGUUGGUGUGUUAGUGGAAGCGUCUGGAAAGUCGCACGGUACAGGGUGAUAGUCCCGUACACAAAAACACACUGGCUGUGAACUCGAUGAGUAGGGCGGGACACGUGACAUCCUGUCUGAAUAUGGGGGGACCAUCCUCCAAGGCUAAAUACUCCUGACUGACCGAUAGUGAACCAGUACCGUGAGGGAAAGGCGAAAAGAACCCCGGCGAGGGGAGUGAAAUAGAACCUGAAACCGUGUACGUACAAGCAGUGGGAGCACCUUCGUGGUGUGACUGCGUACCUUUUGUAUAAUGGGUCAGCGACUUAUAUUUUGUAGCAAGGUUAACCGAAUAGGGGAGCCGUAGGGAAACCGAGUCUUAACUGGGCGUCUAGUUGCAAGGUAUAGACCCGAAACCCGGUGAUCUAGCCAUGGGCAGGUUGAAGGUUGGGUAACACUAACUGGAGGACCGAACCGACUAAUGUUGAAAAAUUAGCGGAUGACUUGUGGCUGGGGGUGAAAGGCCAAUCAAACCGGGAGAUAGCUGGUUCUCCCCGAAAGCUAUUUAGGUAGCGCCUCGUGAACUCAUCUUCGGGGGUAGAGCACUGUUUCGGCUAGGGGUCCAUCCCGGAUUACCAAACCGAUGCAAACUCCGAAUACCGAAGAAUGUUAUCACGGGAGACACACGGCGGGUGCUAACGUCCGUCGUGAAGAGGGAAACAACCCAGACCGCCAGCUAAGGUCCCAAAGUCAUGGUUAAGUGGGAAACGAUGUGGGAAGGCAUAGACAGCCAGGAUGUUGGCUUAGAAGCAGCCAUCAUUUAAAGAAAGCGUAAUAGCUCACUGGUCGAGUCGGCCUGCGCGGAAGAUGUAACGGGGCUAAACCAUGCACCGAAGCUGCGGCAGCGACGCUUAGGCGUUGUUGGGUAGGGGAGCGUUCUGUAAGCCGUUGAAGGUGGCCUGUGAGGGCUGCUGGAGGUAUCAGAAGUGCGAAUGCUGACAUAAGUAACGAUAAUGCGGGUGAAAAACCCGCACGCCGGAAGACCAAGGGUUCCUGUCCAACGUUAAUCGGGGCAGGGUGAGUCGACCCCUAAGGCGAGGCUGAAAAGCGUAGUCGAUGGGAAACAGGUUAAUAUUCCUGUACUGGGUGUGACUGCGAAGGGGGGACGGAGAAGGCUAGGCUAGCCGGGCGACGGUUGUCCCGGUUUAAGCAUGUAGGCGGAGUGACUUGGUAAAUCCGGUUGCUUAUCAACGCUGAGGUGUGAUGACGAGCCACUACGGUGGCGAAGUAGUUGAUGCCAAGCUUCCAGGAAAAGCCUCUAAGCAUCAGGUGACAUUCAAUCGUACCCCAAACCGACACAGGUGGUCAGGUAGAGAAUACUCAGGCGCUUGAGAGAACUCGGGUGAAGGAACUAGGCAAAAUGGUGCCGUAACUUCGGGAGAAGGCACGCUGGCAUUAGGUAAAGAGACUUGCUCUCGGCGCCGAAGCCAGUCGCAGAUACCAGCUGGCUGCAACUGUUUAAUAAAAACACAGCACUGUGCAAACACGAAAGUGGACGUAUACGGUGUGACGCCUGCCCGGUGCUGGAAGGUUAAUUGAUGGGGUCAGCCGCAAGGCGAAGCUCUUGAUCGAAGCCCCAGUAAACGGCGGCCGUAACUAUAACGGUCCUAAGGUAGCGAAAUUCCUUGUCGGGUAAGUUCCGACCUGCACGAAUGGCGUAAUGAUGGCCAGGCUGUCUCCACCCGAGACUCAGUGAAAUUGAACUCGCUGUGAAGAUGCAGUGUACCCGCGGCAAGACGGAAAGACCCCGUGAACCUUUACUAUAGCUUGACACUGAAUAUUGAGCCUUGAUGUGUAGGAUAGGUGGGAGGCAUCGAAGCGUGGACGCCAGUCUGCGUGGAGCCAACCUUGAAAUACCACCCUUUAAUGUUUGAUGUUCUAACUCGGCCCCAUAAUCUGGGGUGAGGACAGUGUCUGGUGGGUAGUUUGACUGGGGCGGUCUCCUCCCAAAGAGUAACGGAGGAGCACGAAGGUUAGCUAAUCACGGUCGGACAUCGUGAGGUUAGUGCAAAGGCAUAAGCUAGCUUGACUGCGAGAGUGACGGCUCGAGCAGGUACGAAAGUAGGUCUUAGUGAUCCGGUGGUUCUGAAUGGAAGGGCCAUCGCUCAACGGAUAAAAGGUACUCCGGGGAUAACAGGCUGAUACCGCCCAAGAGUUCAUAUCGACGGCGGUGUUUGGCACCUCGAUGUCGGCUCAUCACAUCCUGGGGCUGAAGUAGGUCCCAAGGGUAUGGCUGUUCGCCAUUUAAAGUGGUACGCGAGCUGGGUUUAGAACGUCGUGAGACAGUUCGGUCCCUAUCUGCCGUGGGCGUUGGAAGAUUGAGAGGGGCUGCUCCUAGUACGAGAGGACCGGAGUGGACGCAUCACUGGUGUUCGGGUUGUCAUGCCAAUGGCAUUGCCCGGUAGCUAAAUGCGGAAAAGAUAAGCGCUGAAAGCAUCUAAGCGCGAAACUUGCCUCGAGAUGAGUCUUCCCUGGGGCUUUAAGCCCCCUGAAGGAACGUUAAAGACUAUGACGUUGAUAGGCUGGGUGUGUAAGUGCAGCGAUGCAUUGAGCUAACCAGUACUAAUGAUCCGUGAGGCUUAACCUU
rnacentral:rRNA from 1 species